GGCACAGCAGCAGGAAGAGUCUUACAAAAAUGAAGUGAGUGCGAGGUAUUUUAAUAAACAGCAAAAAUUAAAGAAACUGGUAACUUAGGUUUUAGGCCAUAUUUAAUUUUUCUAGUAGCUUCCGUUUGAUAAAAGAUUCUUCAAAAACUAAUAAUGUUCUUUUUAUUUUUUUCAGGGUAGAAUUAAGUUGUAAAUAGUUGGUAGUAGUAGUUUUAGUAUUAGUUAUUGUUAGUUAGCUUUAGUAUUUAUUAAUUUAGUAAGUAGUAUGAACACGUGAGCCAAGCUUUUAAAAAAAGCUGGUGAAAAAGGCCUAAUCUUUAUUGAUUAGGUUGUGUGAGAAUUUGUGGUUGUGGGUAGACAAAUUCUGAAAAUCGUGUUUAAUUAAAAUUA